rnacentral:lncRNA from 1 species
UUCCUUUUACUGUAUUUCAUCAUAUGGUUUUCUAGUGAUUUCCUUUACUGUGUUUUCUUUCAUCAUGCUUCCAUGAAAUGAUUAUGUUUUUUUGGAUCUUCCUGAGUUUACUUUGCCUGAUUUUGUAUGCUUCUGUCUUUACACUUAAUAUGUGAAGGAAACCCUAGAAUUUGGGGGUUUCCAAACCACUUAUGUGCGAUUGUGUUGUUUCCUGUUUGAUUUCAAAAACCCUAAUCUCUAAAUUCGUCUCAUGUUCUGUGAUUCUUGCUAAG